rnacentral:rRNA from 1 species
CUACGGGUGGCAGCAGUGAGGAAUAUUGCACAAUGGGGGGAACCCUGAUGCAGCACCGCCGCGUGGAGGAUGACGCAUUUCGGUGUGUAAACUCCUUUAUAUGUCAAGAAAAUGACGGUAGCAUAUGAAUAAGCACCGGCUAACUCCGUGCCAGCAGCCGCGGUAAUACGGAGGGUGCAAGCGUUACUCGGAAUCACUGGGCGUAAAGGACGCGUAGGCGGGUUGGAAAGUCAGGUGUGAAAUCCUACAGCUUAACUGUAGAACUGCACUUGAAACUUCUAAUCUAGAGUAUGGGAGGGGGAGAUGGAAUUAGUGGUGUAGGGGUAAAAUCCGUAGAUAUCACUAGGAAUACCUAAAGCGAAGGCGAUCUCCUGGAACAUUACUGACGCUAAGGCGUGAAAGCGUGGGGAGCAAACAGGAUUAGAUACCCCGGUAGUC